CCUUCUACCUCAAUCCACUCGCCGACUUUUUUGAUUCUUCGAUUGAUUUUCUUUUCGUCUCCGCCUUCGAUUAGGGUUAAGGACUUGAGGCGAAACUCAUCUUCUCCACAAAAAUCUUCAAUCGAUCAUGGACAUGUUGAAGAAGCGAAGGCUCGACGAGAACGGCAACGGUAUCCUCAACGACGCGCACAUUACCCGAUUGACGCCGCACGACGCGAGGAAGCUCAUCGAGCGAUUCUCCACCGAUCAGCUCCUCGACAUCCUACAAAACGCCGUCGCUCGGCACCCCGACGUCCUCGAGCUCGUCAGAUCAACCGCCGACGCGGACAUCACUCAGAGGAAGCUCUUUAUCCGCGGCCUCGCGGCGGAGACCACGACGGAAGGUCUCCGAUCGCUUUUCUCCACCUACGGAGACCUCGAGGAGGCGAUCGUGAUUCUCGAUAAGGUGACGGCGAAGUCGAAGGGGUACGGGUUCGUGACGUUUAGGCACGUGGACGGGGCGCUUCUCGCGUUGAAGGAUCCGUCGAAGAAGAUCGACGGGCGCGUGACGGUCACGCAGCUCGCGGCGGCUGGGAAUCAAGGUGGGGGUGGUGCUGCGGCGGCGGCGAAUGGUUCGGAUGUGUCGAUGAGGAAGAUUUAUGUGGCGAAUGUGCCGGUUGAUAUGCCUGCGGAUAGGUUGUUGAAUCUGUUUUUGGCGUAUGGGGAGAUUGAGGAAGGUCCUUUGGGGUUUGAUAAGGUUACUGGGAAGUCUAGAGGGUUUGCUUUGUUUGUGUAUAAGAGUCCUGAAGGUGCUCAGUCGGCGCUUGCUGAUCCUACUAAGGUGAUUGAUGGGAAGCAUUUGCAGUGUAAGUUGGCUAUUGAUGGUAAGAAGGGGAAGCCACCAGGUGGUGGUCCGGGUAAAGAUGUUGCUGCUGGGCCUGGGAAUGGUCAUGGUCAUGGGCAUGGUAAUGGAAUGGGUGUGGCUCCUCCUCCUGGACCUUAUGGGCCAGCUGUUGGUGGUCCUGGUGGGAUGGGUGGUUACAAUGGGUACUCAGGAGGACCGCCACCGCAUCAGAUGAAUCACACACCAUCAUCUAUGGGCGGUGGACCAGGUGGAUAUGCAGGUGCGUAUGGAGGUGCAUAUGCUGGUCAUUAUGGUGGAUACGGUGGUCCAGGAUCUGGGGGUUAUGGUCUUGGUACAGGCCCUGGUGCUGGAAGUGGUCCGUAUAGAAUGCCACCGAGUUCGAUGGGUGGUAGUGGUGGUUAUCCUGAGAGCGGGCACUAUGGGCAUUCAUCAGCUUCAGCGUAUCCUGGACAGCAUCAGCCUGUUGGUUCCUCCGCAGCUCCGAGAGUUCCUCCUGGAGGAAUGUACCCCAACGGUCCACCACAUUACUGAAUGGUAAGGUGGUUCUUCCUUAAAUUGAGUUAUUCUAACUGCUUGAUCGUGCUGUUAUUGUGUGCAUGAGCAUGGUCCUUGCUAGAAAAUAUCUGUUUAUUUGUUUUUUUUCUUUUGUGUGUCCACUUGUGGCUAUUUGCUUGCAUUCAGUGAUAUAUGCUACUUGUUGUGAUUCCUGAAUAGGUGUGUAUCAUCACUAUAUUGUAAACUAAGUUCAAUUGUUUAGUUGUGCAGUACUGUGUCCAUUUGCUCCAUACUUUGCUUGGGACUUGUUGAUUUUCGGCUUGGAGUUUAAUUUGUUUGUUAAUGCUAAUGACCAAGUUAAAUUGUGAAUUGGAUGUUUGAUUCAGGUUUGUUGACAGGUCGAAGAUGCUUUUUGUGCUUAGUGGUGAUUACGUGAUUGCAGCAUCUUUAAAAAAAAUCUCUGGAUUGAUGAAUGUAUUGCUGCUUUGACAUCUGUCACUCUCUCUCUCUGCACUUGAAUUGAAUGUGCCUUGGCCUCUGUAUGCCUAGUUGCUUUCUAUGAAUUUGAUUAGACUAGGAUGUCUUUCCUGUAUUUUAUUUCUUUCAUAGACAUAGUUGGCAGAUUUGGUUUUGUUUGUCAGAUUAGUGAACUUUUCAAUAAUAUUGGUGUUAUUUGUCUUGCUAUCUAGUUUGUUGUUACUCUUUCUUUACUGUUCUGUAACAUUGACAACAAGGCUCUACUUGUCUGUGAUCAAUAAAGUGGCAGUAGAAGGUUUUCUUUGUGAAUCACUUCUGAUUGAUUCAUUCAUAGGUUAAACUCAAAAGUUCUGAACAUGUGUUGCUUUAGCCGCUUGAUAUUCUGAGAAUUGUACUCUGCCCUUUCCUGUUUGCAAACCAGACAUGAUAGAAGUUUCUUGGAGAGUGCAAUUUUGAAGAUUGUGUUAUUAUAUAUGACAGAGAAACUCUGCUUCAAAUAAU